rnacentral:rRNA from 1 species
GCGGCGAGUGAGCGGCAAGAGCUCAGAUUUGAAAUCGUGUUUCGGCACGAGUUGUAGAGUGUAGGCGGGAGUCUCUGUGGAGCGCGGUGUCCAAGUCCCUUGGAACAGGGUGCCUGAGAGGGUGAGAGCCCCGUAGGGUGCUGCGCGAAGCUUUUGAGGCCCUGCUGACGAGUCGAGUUGUUUGGGAAUGCAGCUCCAAGCGGGUGGUAAAUUCCAUCUAAGGCUAAAUAUUGGCGAGAGACCGAUAGCGAACAAGUACUGUGAAGGAAAGAUGAAAAGCACUUUGAAAAGAGAGUGAAACAGCACGUGAAAUUGUUGAAAGGGAAGGGUAUUGGGCUCGACAUGGGGGGUGCGCACCGCUGUCUCUUGUAGGCGGCGCUCUGGGCGCCCUCUGGGCCAGCAUCGGUUCCUGCUGCGGGAGAAGGGGCUCCGGAAAGUGGCUCUUCGGAGUGUUAUAGCCGGGGCCAGAUGCCGCGUGUGGGGACCGAGGACUGCGGCUUCUGUCUCGGAUGCUGGCAUAACGGCGCAAUACCGCCCGU